GAACAAUGAAAAAUAAAUUUUCUUUCGUUUUCCUUUCCUUAAAAAUCCUUCAUCCAAAACCGGCGUUGCAAGGGCUUUCUCAAGCAUAGCAUCAUCCUAAAACUGGUGAAGAGCAUUAGGCUCCCUAUGGGACGUUGAAUGUCUUGAAUUCAUAUCUUCAAGCUCACUGAAUAUGAAUCCCUUUCCUGAGCCUACCAGUCGAUUUGUGUUUGUAGACCAUAUCUAUAUAUUUUAUGUUUAUAGGGUAUGAGGUUGGGUGUAUAUGGAAUUAGGUUUUUGUGUUGUGAGUAAUUUCGAUUUCUACUGUUUCUUCAUUUGAUUUAUAGUAGGAAAGUUUUUAUUGCUUGUGGAAAUUGGUUUCAAAACCGAACCGUGUGUGUUUUGUUUUGUUCUCAGUUUUACUUUUUGAUCUGUUUUAGUAUUGCAUUUGAUUUGGGGUUUGCUGGUUUGGGAACAGAAUCGCUGUAGAUUUUCGUUUUGGUUUAAGAGAAGAAUGCAGACAUUGCAGGUGUGUGGUGAGCCAGGGAAGAUGGAAUUUUCCUGACGUAGUAGUGAUUCAAAAGAAGUUUGUUGUAGUAGUGAUUCAAAAGAAGUUUAUUUAUUUAUUUAUUUUUAAUGCCCCUGAUGAAGGACACUCUUCUUUCAAACCAUGUUUGAUUGUUGGCUUGGAAGUUGGGGUUUUUUGUUGUAGCUUCUGUUUGGAGCUUUUCUUGUGUCAUGCUAUAUCUUGGUUAAUGAAUUGGUGUUUAUCAAAAGGGCAAUUCUGAGAGUGUCUUGUGUGCUGAAGAGUUCAGACAGUCGUAAUCACUUAUUUUUCCAAGGGGCUGUCUUCAAAAUUUUGGUCAGCUGUCUUGGGUUUUUGCUGCAUCAGAAGGAAAUUCAAAUAGCGAGUUGUUCUAGAAAGGUUGUCUUAGCAGCAAUUCUCCAUUAGAUAGAGAAGUAACAGGGUAUUUGGAGGCUGGUAUAAAUCUCGUCAACCCAUUAUAAUUCAAAUGGAGGAGAGAUUGAAAUAAGUUUGAUGGGACAAACAGUUGAUGUGAAGGUGCAGUAUGUCAGAGUACAGACAAAAGGAAGCAGCUUAUUUGAUCUGCUGGGAUUUACAGGUUGGUUUUUGUGGGUGUCCUCUGUUCAGGAUUUGCACAGGUCUUUGUUAGGGGUGAGCUGCUUGUUUCCCUUGUUCUACUCUCUCUUCCAUGGUAUUGGUGGGUAGCAAUAGUGAUUAUUGGAGUGUGGUAGUUUAGGGGUGAGCUGUUUGUUUCCCUUGUUCUACUCUCUCCUCCAUGGUAUUGGUGGGUAGCAAUGGUGAUUAUUAGUGUGUGAUUGUUUGGUGGGCUUGAGUUUGGGUUUGGUUCUUGGUGGAUGUGUCAUAAGUCUCUAGCUUUAUUUUUGGUGUUCAAUUUACGUUUACAAUGAAUAAGAGGAAAAGGAUAUAUGCUGGGGCCUGAAAGAAGUUUUUGUUUCUAGCCUUAAAGGAAAAUUGAUGAACUUCCGUUGAUUCCCAGAACAAAUAUAGAGCUACCUUGUCACAGAUAGGGAUAAAAAAGCAAAAGUUCCCACUUUGAAUUUGUUCAUAUGAUGAAGGGUGAGGAAUUUUGAUGAUAGUAGAGGAAUAAGCCGUUAGCAUAUAACCUUAUAGAGGCUAACUGUAUCAGCAUAAUGAGCAAAGAUUUACCAAUUCGUUCCAUUAGUGUUUAACGCUGUUUGCAACACUUUUGAGCGUAAAAUUCUUGCUUUGGGCCAAUGGCUCAGAUUGCAUCAUGAUCAACAUACAACAAAAAAUUUUGUUGUACCAAAAGAUAGUCAAGGAAUGCUAAGUUAGCACCUUGGCUAGACUGCCCUUUACUAUUGUAAAUCAUAAAAACAUAGUGUGAGAAACCAGCUUUCAUUCCUGUUGGGCAAUGUGCAUGAGAUGCCAUCUUUGAUUCUAAUUAUUUAAACAUUAAGAGAUUUUUAUUUGGGUGAAGUGACGUGAAGAGGAAGAUGGGAAUUGACAGAAAUAUCUUUGCAAGAAGAGAGCACCUUCAUAGACAUAGUGCUGGGCACAAUCACAUUCAGUUCGAUCGCUUUCACUCUGCAUUGCGUUUGGAAAGUUGGGAUGCUUUAGAAAGAACAAAUGCAGGCAUGCACGAACCUCCAAAAGACUAAAGGUCCUACCAAACAAUGCUUCCACCAUUCGAACACUGUAGUAUAUAUAACUGACCCAGCUCGUGAUCUUGCAAAGAUAGGUAGAGAAGGGUUUGACAUCUUAGAACGGUUUCGAGACCAGAGGGGAAAGGCCGCUCAGCUCCCUUCCCCAAAGAAUGUCAUUGAUAGCAAUCAGGUAGCCAAGCUGCACAGAGGUGUGCAGGUUAUAGAUUUCAGUCAUAAGAAUGCAGUUUAGGAAGCUUAUUAAUGAAAGCCUCUUUUGUGCAUAUUACCUUCUGUAUGGUAUUUAACUCUAUAGAAAGGUUUACUUUGUAAGCAUAUUAGAAUCUGCUUUAGCAUUUGUAAUGUAAUCAUUGUAUAAAUAAUAACUUACCUAUGUAUAAAAA